CACUUGAGAGAGGUUCUUAUUGAAACAUCUGACACUACUAAAAGCCCGAUAACAAAGCUUCUGAGUGUGUCCACGUUGGAGUGGAAAAUCGACCAAUAAUAUUACAGCAUUCGUCCAUGUCAUCAUCGAUUUGGUUUGAUUGGGCUUCAUCUGGGUUCGGUCUGUUUGGUCUCCAGUUUAAAGCCCAAAUUCAUUUCUGUCUUGAUAGCAAUUGUUAGUCGUAAGUCGUAACCCUACCUACCUCUGUUCUUCUCUUACCUUUCGGCUUCUACAACUUCGAUUUCUUUUCUCUCCGGAACCGUUUCAACCAAUUACUUCACCACUAGCUGUUCUAAUCAAAACUUUUGCUUGAUCUCAUUCUCAUUCAAUGAAUUCCUUUCACCUUCCUCUCCAUUCGUCUAUUUAUAAAGCUCUUCUCAUAUCAUAUGUCUCAGUUAAAAUUGAUAAGAUUCUCUUAGAUAUUUAUCUUGAUGGAACAAGAAGACCGUCUCAUCCUCCGCGAUUGCCAAACCAGACGGAAAGUCGACUGCUUCAAUUACUGAUUGAGAUAGGGUUUCGAUUUUGACGCUUGAUCUUCGUUUUCAUCAACAGAAACGCUCCCAUUACUGAUUCAUCCCGUUAAUCCUUUUAUUAAAUCCAUCAACCACGAUUUAGCCUUCAAUGCAAGUUUGCGGUGUAUCAGCGAGUAUAUAAAGGUAUCCUUGCUCCUCUCUAAUCCAUAUUCUCAAUCUUUCUCUGGGAGACCAGGAAUGUCAGGCGGUGGAGAACUCAUUGGGUUGAUAUGCUCAUGGUGGAUGUAAAUGCCACCAUUAAUUCUAACCGACGACUUGCUCUCAGCAUUCAGCAUUCAAUCUUCAUAAAAGCCACGGUGUACAAGCAUCUUAUCAAGGCGGGUUCAAUUUAUUCCAUAAGCGGUUUUGAUGUGACUCAGAGCAAUCUGAACCUUAAGUUGUCCGUCUCUCCUCUAUCGAUUUGACUCCACCGUUGAAUUUCGUCUCCACUGUCGAGAUAAAAUGGAGAGAUUGCACGAAAGAUACGUUUCUUCAAAGACCAAAUGUCAAAAAAAGUUGGAGUAUCUCCCCAAGAGUUCAUAGACAAAGAAGUUUAAAUGGAUUUGGAUGAUGUUGAGGUCGAGCUUGGGGAGCCAGAAGCUGAACUUUACGUAAUCAAGGCUAUUAAUAAAAAGCUGCAACGCUCUUACAAUUAACUUGUGGAUUUUAGGUCUCCUAGCAACUGUUCUUAUACAGGUGAAUCUGCAUCUUGGUUUAGGUCUCAGUCUUUAUUUCAGCUCUCACAAUAAGCGUAGGAGAGAGAUAGAGAGAGUACUAAUCAUAUUGACAUCGCUGCAAUAGCCCUAUCAACAGUAGGAUCCUUAGUGUCUUACAUGGUAACUCUUGCAAAGGUUUAUUGUUACGUUCAAGACCAAUGUUACCGCUGAGAGAGCAGAGACUUUGCUCUAUUGUUAUUGUCUCAAACAUCGUUAGAUGAAUUCAAGAUUCUGUAAAUAAGGAUGUUAUAAAAGCUAGGAUGGAGAGCUGUUCAAGAGUACUUCAAGGUUUAUCUUUCAACACUGUUGUGUGAAAUGAUGCUGUUAUCUUUGUAGACAAAAGUAUGAGACGUACUGAAUGACUUCUUAUAGGUUUUACACGUAGUGAAUGACUUCUUAUAGGUUUUAGUUUUACGGUUUACUUCUAUGUCUGUUCUUUUCCUUCUGUUCUCUUAUAUCUCAUGUAAAAUUAGUCAGAUAAAAACCAAUGUAAAAUCUAGAAAUAAUGUAUUUUUUUUUGCUCAA